rnacentral:rRNA from 1 species
UACUGAGUUUACGCUCUAUAACCCUUUGUGAACAUACCUAUAACUGUUGCUUCGGCGGGUAGGGUCUCCGCGACCCUCCCGGCCUCCCGCCUCCGGGCGGGUCGGCGCCCGCCGGAGGAUAACCAAACUCUGAUUUAACGACGUUUCUUCUGAGUGGUACAAGCAAAUAAUCAAAACUUUUAACAACGGAUCUCUUGGUUCUGGCAUCGAUGAAGAACGCAGCGAAAUGCGAUAAGUAAUGUGAAUUGCAGAAUUCAGUGAAUCAUCGAAUCUUUGAACGCACAUUGCGCCCGCCAGCAUUCUGGCGGGCAUGCCUGUUCGAGCGUCAUUUCAACCCUCAAGCUCUGCUUGGUGUUGGGGCCCUACAGCUGAUGUAGGCCCUCAAAGGUAGUGGCGGACCCUCCCGGAGCCUCCUUUGCGUAGUAACUUUACGUCUCGCACUGGGAUCCGGAGGGACUCUUGCCGUAAAACCCCCCAAUUUUCCAAAGGUUGACCUCGGAUCAGGUAGGAAUACCCGCUGAACUUAAGCAUAUCAAUAAGCGGAGGAAAAGAAACCAACAGGGAUUGCCUCAGUAACGGCGAGUGAAGCGGCAACAGCUCAA